GCCAAGUCUCUCCCAGAUUUGGGUGAUCAAGAUUACAAGAAAAUGUUGUGUGUGGAUUCUGCUGCUGUUGAAACUCCGAUUAUCUUAAAACCUUCUGAAGAGUGGAGGGGGCGGCAAGAGCUCUCUACGGUAUCUUCAAGUUAUUGCAGUGGACAAUUGGACCCUAGGAAAGUUAUUUAUGGCUAAUCUUAUCCAUGGUCUGAUUCUACAAAAUUUAUUUUUGUAUACUAUAUGCACCUUUUGCUGUUCCAUAAAUUUAUCAGUUUCAUAGGGGUUACUUAAACAUUACUGGAUCUAUU
rnacentral:misc_RNA from 1 species